CGCCAAGAUGUGUCCCAAGUGGAAUUUGAGAGAGACCAAGAGCUGACCCAUGGGGAAGAUAUGAGAUGCCAGGAGCCUUCCCAACAGCAAGAUGUGAAUGGCCAAGAGCUGUGCAAACAGAACGACAAUAGUGAACAAGAGCUGUCAGAAGGUGAAUUAGACCCAGAGCUGUACCACUGGCAAUCUGAGAGACAGCAGGAGCUAUCCACGUGGCUGGACAUGGAAAUCCAAGAGCUGUUCCAAGAGGAGAACGACAGCAGCAAAAUGUUUCCACAAUGGGAAGGCUCCAUUGACCAUGAUCUGUCCAGAGGAGAAAUCAGACUAUAUCCAAAGGUGUCCCAAGGGAGAUGUGACUGUGAGGAAAAGGAGUCACAGGACGACUUGAAAUGCAUCACAACCCAAGAGAGAGGUGACAGUGAGGAAAAGGAGUCACAGGAGGACUGGGACUGCAUCACCAUCCACACCAUCUGGGUCAACCCCAAGUACCCAGAGCUGCUGCAGGAGCCUGAUGCUGCUGGCCAGGACUCGGCCGAGGCAGCAGCUUGUCCAGCCUUGGCUGAGCAGGGGCAGGCAGCAGGGGCACAGAGGCAGGGCCCUGCCCCACACAGCCCCUGCUGCCCCCCAGGCCCCUCAGCUCCCCAGGCAGGAGCCCAGGCCCCCAGGGAGCAGCCGGCUCCCCCCAAGAAACGCCCGUCCCGCUUCAGGCGGGCGCUGCGGGCGCUGCGGGGGCUGUUCUGCUGCCCCUGCCUGAGGCCACAGCCGCACAAUUAGUGCCCGCUGCCAGCGCUGGCCCGGAGCCUGCCCCGUGUCACACGGGCUGCCUUUGGUGGCCAGCUGUCAGGGACAGCAGCUCCUUGUGGGCACAAUGGCCUGGCUGAGGCUUAGGGCUGGAGAGGCACCAGCGAUGGCAGAGCCAAGGGCAGGGGCACAAAGCCUGGGCAGAAGGAGCUCCUGCUCAGAGGGGACACCGAGGAUGCAGAAGUGACAGCCACAAGGACAUUUGGCAGAACUUCCCAGAGGAGGACAGAACUCAUCAAGCCAACUCAGCAGCUGUGCUGAAAUGGGCUCCCGCUGGUGAAAAGGUACUUCUGGCACAGGGAGAUAGCAACUCCUGGCCCAGUGACCCCAGAAACCCAGUGAGAAAAAAUAAGAAACAGACUGAGCACAGAGAAAGCUUAGUUAGCACAAGAAG
rnacentral:lncRNA from 12 species